UGACGGAUCUGGCGGGAGGAGUCUGCGCGGAGGAGGCGGAGGGAACCGAGGUAGAGCGGAGUCCCCGCGGCGGCGGCGGCGGCGGCGGCGGGCCGGGGUGCGGGUGAACCCCGUGCGGAGCCCCAGGCCGGGACGCGGGAGCCACGGCCAGCUAGCUGCCAACCUUCCUGGAGCAAGACCACACCUAAACUGCGUCCCGCUUUGGAGGUGAGCUGAGCUGAGAAACAGGCAAUACCGUGCCCUCCAGGGCUGAGGCAGACCCUCACACCCGGAAUCGGCAAACAGCGCGCCUUUCACCUGCUGAUUGCUUUGGGUCCCAGAGAAGACCCUUCUGAAAAAGCCAAGUCUUCCUUCUGUUACAUCACCACCCUUCCAACUUUAGCUUCAGAACAGGAAGGCGCCUUAAAAUAGAACUACCUUAAGAACCCGGCUCCUUUACAAGAUCAACUUUUAAAUCAGCUGCUGGAGGGACACUCUGAACUUCGACAUGGGGAGAAGAGAAAGCUGUAAUGAGAAAUGGCUCCUUUGGGGGAGGAGGGUACUGUCCAGGUAUUUCAGAAAGGCUUUUCUCAAGGCAGACUUAGUUACCUAGGCCAGUUAAUAUUUUGGUGUAAGAUUCAUGUACUAUUCAUAUGUUUUGGUAUGUCAACAGUAAGUACAUUUCUGUGUAGUUAAAGAGGGACUCUUGGAUUGUGCUCUGUAGUCUGGUAUAGACAUGGUAUGGUAGGGAGAAGCUAGGAGGGGGCUUUUGAAGAAGAUGGAAUCUUAGGAUGCAGGGCAGCUGCUUUCUGUAAGUUGAUAGGGUCAGCAAAAACAGUUGUGACUUUUGCAGAAUGAAGAACAAGCUAGGUAAAGAAGCAGGGGUGUCAAGAUUUCCUGACAUUACCUUGGAAAUUAAUCUCCUUGUCUUUAAAUCCAUUCUGUCCCUGAAUUGAGGUAUAUCUCUCUCUUUACCAAACAGCCCUUUCCAAAGACAACUGCUUAGAAAAGAAUCAUUACUGAAGCAUUGACAGUAUAAGGGGUUGGAAGCUGCACAGAAAAUACUUGAUAUCAUUUGGGCACUUGGUGUAUACUGUAGCAAGACCUGUUGGUGGAUGGGGUAACAUCAUUUAUUCUGAUUCAGUUAAAAGAAUCCAGGCAACAGACAGGAUCGUCUGUACUUCCUACUCAGGUAGCCCCUAGCUACUUGACACAUCCACCUUCUAAUAAUACAGGGAGGAUGGUGAGCUGAAAUUUUCAAUCUUAAUUUCUAAAAGCCAUACUUGACUCAAUUACUGGAACUUAAGUAUGUUUGGAAACAUACUUGAGCAUAUGUGUCUGCUUUUUAUGCUACUAAGCCUGUGAAAUCUAAAUACAGAUUAAAUAUCUAUCUGUUGAAAAUUCAGUACUGAAAUUGAAAUGUGGUUUGUGUAAGAUACACUGCAGAUUUUGAGGACUUAGUUCAAAAAAGAAAGAUACGUCAUCAGUAUCCUGGUUUAGUUUUUGAAAGCACAGCUACUAGAGAAUCUCAGCCUACAUAUGCAACUUGCAUUCUCACUUUUGUCCCAUUUUUGUUUGACAUAGUAAUUUUAUUUAUGGGUACCCUGUGACACUGCAGCGCAUGUAUGUGAUGUGUUACUACUGUGUGCUUCCUUUGGACACCUUGGGCCUAUAGCAACCCUUCAUUAUGUCCAUGAAUUAAUUUCAAAGAGGUGACUGUGUGUAAAAUACGUUAUUGCAUUGCUUGUCAGCCCUCUACCUUCCACUGCUGUGCUGCAUGCAAAGACUUGGGGACCCAAGUGUAUUAAAGUAUUACCGGAUGUCAGACCUCGUAAUGACUGCUUUGCAGAUUUCUAUUCAGGGACUUAAAAAAAGAACCCGAAGGGUUCUAAAAGGGCUAGCAAGGUAUUGCAGCAAGUUUUGGGUACCCAUGCACCUCCCUAUAGCUGCUGUGUUAAAAGGUUCCAGGGCAUACCAAAAUGUAUCAGAGAAUACUGGGUUACACCUAUGACACCUGUUGCUAAUGAUGGUAGACUUCUGUUACCUUGGUUAACUUGUCUUCCUCUCAUUUAAUUUCUGACUCUAUAUUAGGGCUCUUAAGGUUGCUUACUUCUCCAAAAAGUAUAGUGCCAACAGGAAUAUAGAAGUUUUGUUUUGUCUAAAGAAAUUCAGUAAUGGCACUGGGAGGGGUUUAAGGCCCUCGUGUACUAGUUCCUUAUUUUAUAGAUGACAGACUGUCAUAUACCUUGUAAGACCAUGCAGAGACAGGAAUUCAACAUAUGCUUGUGUUAAUAAUAGGAGAAAGGAGGUGCAUCAGUGAAGCCACUAUUUGUUGAGCUUGUCCUUUGUGGACGUGACAGAUAAGUAUUGUGAAGUGACUGAAAAGAACACUGUGUGACUUGAGAAAGAGUUGACUAUCACUACAAACAGUGCCAGGGUGUCCAGUACCCUACUUAAUGCUCAGGUGCCACUGUGGCAUGCAUUACCAGUAGAAAUGUGUGCAUUUCACAGCUGCAGGAAUAGAAGUGGUGAGAAUGGUGGACCCUGUGGAGAAGGGUUGUGUGAUGAUGUUUAUGAACUAGCAUAGCCUAAGGCUCUAGAAUCAGAGGUCAGUGUAAACCUUUGGUAUUGUCCCUUUUACCUGUACACUAGUGGAAUUUGAACACCUAAGACCCAGCAUGUUAAAUGGCAGUGAUGCAGUAAGAAGGACAUUGUAGGCUAAUAGAAGCUUCUGGGGGAUGGUAGUGAGGGGUGAUCAUUU